rnacentral:rRNA from 1 species
CUACGGGGUGCACCAGUGGGGAAUCUUGCGCAAUGGGGGAAACCCUGACGCAGCGACGCCGCGUGAACGAAGAAGGCCUUCGGGUUGUAAAGUUCUGUCGCGAGAGAAGAAUCUGGACGGGUAACGCCGUUCAGCGACGGUAUCUCGUGAGAAAGCAGUGGCUAACUCCGUGCCAGCAGCCGCGGUAAUACGAAAGGUGCAAGCGUUGUUCGGAAUCAUUGGGCGUAAAGCGCACGUAGGUGGGUAGAUAUGUCGAUUGUGAAAGCCCAGGGCUUAACCUUGGAAUUGCAGUCGAAACUGUCUGUCUUGAAUAUCUGGGAGGGUGGGGGAAUUCCGGGUGGAGAAGUGAAAUUCGUAGAGAUCAGGAGGAACAUCUGGGGCGAAGGCGCCUGCCUGGCAGAAUAUUGACGCUGAGGUGCGAAAGCGUGGGUAGCAAACAGGAUUAGAUACCCGGGUAGUC